UGGUUCAGAACCCUGAGAGCAACACAGCAAUGGAUUCUUUAAAAAUGGGCUUCGUAAAGCUGAUGUGUAGAAGCCCAUGGAUGGAAGCGGAUAUAUUACACAAUGGCUUUUAUUUUCCAUCCCUUCUUUCUUCUCCCAAAUCUAAUUCUUCUCAAAAAUUGGUUGCCAUUCUCUCACCGAUUUGCUUGCCCCUUGUCUCACGCCGCAUCGGUACAUCUCCAGCUUCCAUCUUCUCGCAUAAAGCUUCAACCCGGUGGGAGUUCCUUCGUCGGCCAAAGUCUGGAAGAUUUCAACUCACGCAAGUUUGAAAGGAAUGCAGCGUAGAUAGAGUUGGAAUACCUUUGAAUGGACAUGAUUGUGGAAUACCUUUGCUUUUGCGUCCGACGAAGAACAAAAUCGCUUUUGGAAGGAGGAAAGAGAAAUGAGAGGGAGAAAAAAAAAGUACGAAUUGGCCCUCUAUUGGUCCAAGUUGGUUGGGAGAGACAUGGACAAAAUUGGCUCAAUUUCAUACCCCUUGUGUGAUUUAUUUUUCUUAGUUUGCAAAACCAGCUUCGGUACAGUUAAAAAGGGAUUCGAAACUUGUAUUAUUUCUGCUGCUCUAAGGGUGUGUUUGUUUGUGGGUUCGA